AAUACAGCCUCUGCAUGACUAUGCAGUUGCACAGAAUUCUUAAAAGGAAACUGCUUGCAAGAUCAGGGCCUUUCCAGCAAUGUGAAAAUUAAGAUGUUAGUAGGGGCUCAAAGAAAAGAGAUGACAUUUCUGUUGAGGAGAUUUGUACGCACGUGAUGCAGGUAAAGAGUUACAGAACUUUAACUGCUGACAUACCCAGACUCAGAUCUGUGGUUCAGGCACAGAAUCCCUGCUUCUAGGGAUUUGGUGGAGGGAUGUGAAAACUGAGCAGUAGCAUCUGAGAUGUGAUUCAUAGGGGAUGCUGUAAAACGGUGCAUACUGCAGGAAUCUGAGAUGUUGGAGUGAGCCAGCCCUGGAUCUGCAAAGUAAUAAAGUUACUUAUACUGCUCCUUCUUCCAAUUUCUCCAGAUUUUUUAACAGUGAAGACACCAGAAUUAAAGAGCGUGGCAUUAAAGCUAUUUUUAGUCCUGAUGUUAUGUUCUUGCACAGCUUGCAAGCUUACAAUAUACCUGAAGAGUACUAGAUCUUAUGCACAGAGCAUGAUGUAAGAAAUGUUUCGGGUUGCUUCUUCACUGUGCAGCCUAGCUUCUUUCAGAGCUGCCUUUGCAUGUCUACCUGUAGAUGUGAGCUCAUAUUUGACUAUCUGAAUGGUCCUAUUUAGAAGGUGUACAUCACAGCACAUCCAAGACAUCCCUAACUGACCACAGCUCAUCCAUCAGCUCUUGAGUCUGUCAACUGCUCUGAGUUUUAAGGCAAAGUGUCGCUGUUUUCCUUAAAAUUACAGUGGUGUCGGCAUUCAGCAGGCCAACCUGUCUGUUUCUGAGCACUCGGUCCUCAACAGCAUUUGUAACUCUUUCAGGCUCUCUGUGCCACAGUUUCUAUUCAAACAGAUUUUGCAUUGAAUUUCUAAUCAUUAUAACAAAUCCUAAAUAGCAGCAGUCCUACUUUUGGUUUCUGUGUGGUUAUCUACAAUUAUCUCCUCUGACUGAUGAUUCCAUUGGUGCCUGUCUCCACACAUCAGUCCCAUGCAGUGUGAGUCUUCUUGACAGACUACACGGCCAAGCAUCCAGAAAAGUAUCUGAGAACAAUGCAAAUAUAUUAUACCUGCACCAUCAUCUUCAUGAGCAACUUUCUAAUUUAACAAGAAAUAAAAUACACUUGACAAGUUCUUUUUCUAUAAAGUCACAUCAGCUGCUACUGCUGUACUCCUAUCUCAUAACUCGUUAUGUCCUGUACCAGCAUUUGUCAUCAGUUUUAUUUAUGACAGGUAAAUCGGUUAUUAUCUGUGUCUUCAGUUGUCCAAGUUGAAUACUUAUAGUCAGUUUUCAUGACUUCCUGGGAGACCAUAUGCAAGCUCCUUUAAUACUCUCAAAUUGAAGUUCUUUGGGACUCACAUACUUUAGAAUGUUUCUCUUUAAGUAAUGUUGUUCAGUGCUCAUACUAAUAACGCCAAGGAGGGUACUCAGUCAUUUUGAUAUGCUGUAAGUCCAUCAUAUGUUUUUUCAGUGAUAGGAUAAAACUGGUAUCUGUAUCUAUUUAGAUAUAUUGGCCUGCAAUACUGUUAAAAUUUAGAAAACUAGAGUUAUUCCUAAAAUUACUAAGCACACUUGUUCUCACCUAUUUUUCCAUGCUCAUAACUGUUCUUAUAAUGAUUGCUGUCUCUUCUACUUGUACAUCUUUACUUCUUCUCUCUACAUAAAUUAAAAUGUACUUAUUUA
ensembl:lncRNA